AAUACAUGUUGGUUGUUUAUGGCAAUUUGGUACAGCAGUUCAAACAGAGACAGAGAGGGGUGCCCAAAAGCCCAUGGUUUGGUAACUAGGCUUGCUGUGGGUGAUGGGGUGAGUUACGUCAACAAUUUGCUCCUCUUUUUUCUUUUUUUUUAAAAUUUGUGAAAUAAAGAGAGGAAGACCUUCCUCAGGGGGUUGUUGGCUGACGUGAGGAAAUAAGAUAAUGGAUGCAAAACACCAAGCAUGGGGUCUGGCAUUGCAUAGCAAGUACCAUGUGCCAGGCAAGGAUCUAAAUGCUUUAAUUCAGUUCCUCCUUGCAACCAUCUCCAUUUUACAGUUGAGGAAGCCAAAGCACAGAAAGGCUAAGUCACUUCUGAAAGGUCACGCAGCAUGUAGGAGUGGAGCGAGGGUUAGAAUACAGAUCCUGUUCCAGAGUCUGUACUCUUACUCAGAGCACUAUCCGCUUCUCAUGGUAUA
rnacentral:lncRNA from 1 species